rnacentral:rRNA from 1 species
UACGUAGGUGGCAAGCGUUGUCCGGAAUUAUUGGGCGUAAAGCGCGCGCAGGCGGUCCUUUAAGUCUGAUGUGAAAGCCCACGGCUCAACCGUGGAGGGUCAUUGGAAACUGGGGGACUUGAGUGCAGAAGAGGAAAGCGGAAUUCCACGUGUAGCGGUGAAAUGCGUAGAGAUCCGGAGGAACACCAGUGGCGAAAGCGGCCACCUGGACUGCACCUGACGCUGAAACGCGAAAGCUAGGGGAGCGAACGGG